AGAGUUUGAUCCUGGCUCAGAUUGAACGCUGGCGGCAUGCCUUACACAUGCAAGUCGAACGGUAACAGGUCUUCGGAUGCUGACGAGUGGCGAACGGGUGAGUAAUACAUCGGAACGUGCCCGAGAGUGGGGGAUAACGAAGCGAAAGCUUUGCUAAUACCGCAUACGAUCUCAGGAUGAAAGCAGGGGACCGCAAGGCCUUGCGCUCACGGAGCGGCCGAUGGCAGAUUAGGUAGUUGGUGGGAUAAAAGCUUACCAAGCCGACGAUCUGUAGCUGGUCUGAGAGGACGACCACCCACACUGGGACUGAGACACGGUCCAGACACCUACGGGUGGCAGCAGUCGAGAAUCUUUCACAAUGGGGGCAACCCUGAUGGAGCGACGCCGCGUGGGGGAUGAAUGGCUUCGGCCCGUAAACCCCUGUCAUUUGCGAACAAACCUGGUGGUUGAACAAACUGCCAGCUGAUAGUAGCAAAAGAGGAAGGGACGGCUAACUCUGUGCCAGCAGCCGCGGUAAUACAGAGGUCCCAAGCGUUGUUCGGAUUCACUGGGCGUAAAGGGUGCGUAGGCGGUGGGGUAAGUUUUGAGGUGAAAUCUCCGGGCUCAACCCGGAUAUUGCCUUGAAGACUAUCCUGCUAGAGGAUCGGGAGGGGAGACUGGAAUUCUCGGUGUAGCAGUGAAAUGCGUAGAUAUCGAGAGGAACACCAGUGGCGAAGGCGAGUCUCUGGACGAUUCCUGACGCUGAGGUGCGAAGCGUGAGAGCAAACAGGAUUAGAUCCCCCUGUCAGUCCACGCCCUAAACGAUGAUGCCAGUCGUCCAGCAGCAUGCUUGUCGAUGACCACUAACGAUCAGCAUCCGGCUGAGGAAGUACGGUCGCAAGAUUAUACUGAGAUCGACGCCAGCAGCGUGGACCAGUUUCAUCGAGCAGCGCCAAGAU
rnacentral:rRNA from 1 species